GCGGAGGAAAAGAAACCAACAGGGAUUGCCUUAGUAGCGGCGAGUGAAGCGGCAAAAGCUCAAAUUUGAAAUCUGGCUCUUUCAGAGUCCGAGUUGUAAUUUGAAGAAGGUAUCUUUGGGUCUGGCUCUUGUCUAUGUUUCUUGGAACAGAACGUCACAGAGGGUGAGAAUCCCGUGCGAUGAGAUGAUCCAGGCCUAUGUAAAGUUCCUUCGAAGAGUCGAGUUGUUUGGGAAUGCAGCUCUAAGUGGGUGGUAAAUUCCAUCUAAAGCUAAAUAUUGGCGAGAGACCGAUAGCGAACAAGUACAGUGAUGGAAAGAUGAAAAGAACUUUGAAAAGAGAGUGAAAAAGUACGUGAAAUUGUUGAAAGGGAAGGGCUUGAGAUCAGACUUGGUAUUUUGUAUGUUACUUCUUCGGGGGUGGCCUCUACAGUUUAUCGGGCCAGCAUCAGUUUGGGCGGUAGGAGAAUUGCGUUGGAAUGUGGCACGGCUUCGGUUGUGUGUUAUAGCCUUCGUCGAUACUGCCAGCCUAGACUGAGGACUGCGGUUUAUACCUAGGAUGUUGGCAUAAUGAUCUUAAGUCGCCCGUCUU
rnacentral:rRNA from 1 species